rnacentral:rRNA from 1 species
AUACGUAGGGGGCGAGCGUUGUCCGGAAUUACUGGGCGUAAAGGGCGUGUAGGCGGUUUUUUAAGUUAGAAGUGAAAACUCGGGGCUUAACCCCAAGACUGCUUCUAAAACUGGGAGACUUGAGUGCAGGAGAGGAAGGUAGUAUUCCUGGUGUAGCGGUGAAAUGCGUAGAUAUCAGGAGGAAUACUCGUGGCGAAGGCGGCCUUCUGGCCUGUAACUGACGCUGAGGCGCGAAAGCGUGGGGAGCAAACAGGAUUAGAUACCCUGGUAGUCCACGCCGUAAACGAUGAGUGCUAAGUGUUGGAGGUAUCGACCCCUUCAGUGCUGCAGUUAACGCAUUAAGCACUCCGCCUGGGGAGUACGGUCGCAAGACUGAA